CAGUUCGGAUCGGAGUCUGCAACCCGACUCCGUGAAGCCGGAUUCGCUAGUAAUCGCGCAUCAGCCAUGGCGCGGUGAAUACGUUCCCGGGCCUUGUACACACCGCCCGUCAAGCCAUGGAAGCCGGGGGCGCUUGAAGUGCGUUGCCGCAAGGCGCGCCCUAGAGCGAAACCGGUGACUGGGGCUAAGUCGUAACAAGGUAGC
rnacentral:rRNA from 1 species